rnacentral:rRNA from 1 species
AGUGAACGCUGGCGGUAGGCCUAACACAUGCAAGUCGAACGGCAGCACAGUAAGAGCUUGCUCUUACGGGUGGCGAGUGGCGGACGGGUGAGGAAUACAUCGGAAUCUACUUUUUCGUGGGGGAUAACGUAGGGAAACUUACGCUAAUACCGCAUACGACCUACGGGUGAAAGCAGGGGAUCUUCGGACCUUGCGCGAUUGAAUGAGCCGAUGUCGGAUUAGCUAGUUGGCGGGGUAAAGGCCCACCAAGGCGACGAUCCGUAGCUGGUCUGAGAGGAUGAUCAGCCACACUGGAACUGAAACACGGUCCAGACUCCUACGGGAGGCAGCAGUGGGGAAUAUUGGACAAUGGGCGCAAGCCUGAUCCAGCCAUACCGCGUGGGUGAAGAAGGCCUUCGGGUUGUAAAGCCCUUUUGUUGGGAAAGAAAAGCAGCAGGUUAAGACCCCGCUGUUCUGACGGUACCCAAAGAAUAAGCACCGGCUAACUUCGU